AUUUGUAAACUGUAACCUGCAUUUUUGUUGCUUUUUCUUGUAAUGGCUUCUUCCUCACUGAGUGGUCUUUUAGCCUAUGUUGGUACAGCACAUGCUUUACCUGUUUAAGCCAACAUCUUCACAAGAUGAAAGCUUUCUUCAGAGGAUCUCUCCUGUGGGUGAGUGUGCAGCCAGCAGCUUAUUGCACCUGCUGACAUUUAUCUCUAUCUGGGAUGCUAAUGAUUUAAGGAGCUGCUGGAUGACCAGUCUUUGCCUGAUGCUCAGCCUUGCAGGUUGAAAACGCCUGUGCAACUCCUGCAAACCUCUCUGAGCUUAAAGGUUCAUGAACUCCUUCCACGUUCGAUCCUCGCAGCUGUAGCAUCCUCAGCAGCCAGCUGCCUGCCUGCUCUCCAAAUGCUGUAAGC